AGCAUGCUAGUUGUACGAGUUCUAGACUCGUAUGCAGAUAGCUCAGUAACACGUGGCCAAACUACCCUAUAGAUCCAGACAACCUCGGGAAACUGAGGCUAAUCCGGAAUAGGGCUCUCAUCCUGGAGUGGAGAGAGCCUGAAACGCUCCGGCGCUAUAGGAUGUGGCUGCGGCCGAUUAGGUAGACGGUGGGGUAACGGCCCACCGUGCCAGUAAUCGGUACGGGUUGUGAGAGCAAGAGCCCGGAGACGGUAUCUGAGACAAGAUACCGGGCCCUACGGGGCGCAGCAGGCGCGAAACCUUUACACUGCACGCCAGUGCGAUAAGGGGACUCCAAGUGCGAGGGCAUAUAGUCCUCGCUUUUUGCGACCGUAAGGUGGUCGCGGAAUAAGUGCUGGGCAAGACCGGUGCCAGCCGCCGCGGUAAUACCGGCAGCACGAGUGAUGACCGCUGUUAUUGGGCCUAAAGCGUCCGUAGCUGGCCGCGCAAGUCUAUCGGGAAAUCUCUCCGCUUAAC
rnacentral:rRNA from 1 species